GCAUAAUAUCCUCCUGGGGAUCUGCCAGACAAGAUCUUCUUUCUUUCCUUCCUUCCUUCCUUCCUUCCUCUAUUUCUUUUCUCUCUUUCUUUCUUUCUUUCGGUCUAUCUUUCUUUCUUUCUUUCUUUCUUUCUUUCUUUCUUUCUUUCUUUCUUUCUUUCUUUCUUUCUUUCUUUCUUUCGUUCUAUCAAUCAAUCUUUCUUUCUUUCUUUCUUUCUUUCUUUCUUUCUUUCUUUCCUUCCUUCCUUCCUUCCUUUCUUUCUUUCUCUUCUUUCUUUCCUUCCUUCCUUCCUUCCUUCCUUCCUUCCUUCCUUCCUUCCUUCCUUCCUUCCUUCCUUCCUUCCUUCCUUCCUUCCUUCCUUCCUUCCUUCCUUCCUUCCUUCCUUCCCUUUCUUCCUUCCUUCCUUUCUUUCUCUUCCUCCUCACCUCCUCAUUCUUCUUCUUCUUCUUCUUCUUCUUCUUCUUCUUCCUACUUCCUUCUUUUUCUUUUUGCUUUAUCUACUUUUAAAAAUAAGAUUAUUCUUAGGUAAAUAAAUUGAUCUAGACUAUGAGUAAAGCCCUGUUUAGGACUAGACUG
rnacentral:lncRNA from 1 species